AUUGAACGCUGGCGGCAUGCUUUACACAUGCAAGUCGAACGGGGUGAGGGGGCAACUCCUCAUCUAGUGGCGAACGGGUGAGUAAUGCAUCGGAACGUGUCCCGUAGUGGGGGAUAACCCGGCGAAAGCCGGACUAAUACCGCAUAUGCUCUACGGAGGAAAGUGGGGGAUCCGCAAGGACCUCACGCUAUGGGAGCGGCCGAUGUCCGAUUAGCUUGUUGGUGAGGUAAUGGCUCACCAAGGCGACGAUCGGUAGCUGGUCUGAGAGGAUGAUCAGCCACACUGGGACUGAGACACGGCCCAGACUCCUACGGGAGGCAGCAGUGGGGAAUUUUGGACAAUGGGGGCAACCCUGAUCCAGCCAUGCCGCGUGCGGGAAGAAGGCCU
rnacentral:rRNA from 1 species